ACCUUGGAAUUCCAGCCGGAGAUUCCAUCGUCAACCUCAGUGGACACUGACAGUUGCCUGAAACCGACUCUCUGUGACCAAACACAGAAGCCCCUUUAUAGACGGCCUCAGUUCUCCAAGGAGUCAUCCCACAACAGGCCUAAUGAGGAAAAUCACCGCCUCCCUGCAGGACCAAGGGUUUGGAAGCUAAGAAGAAAACCAGCAUCCAUUGUGACAGGCGACAUGACACAAGUCCCUCAAACCAC